rnacentral:lncRNA from 1 species
AAAAUAUAAAUGCUAAGUGCAUGUGGUGGGAGCCAUUUGGAAAAAGAUUGAAAAGAGUGAAUGAUAUGAAUUUGAAGGUGUGUUGCUUUUUGGUUUUCUUGCUCUUACAAAUCUUUAAGCUUACAACUCCUUUUCUAAGUUUUCAUAAUAUAUUUCAAUGUACUAGAAAUUUUUACGUAGUAUUUUAAAGUAAAUAAAUGAUAAUAAUAACAACAUAAGAGUAAAGAAACAUUUUUUAAAAAUUUAAAUCACAAUAGAAUCAAAAAAUAAUUUUAUUGAUUACAGGUUGCAAUAUUCCUCAUGUUUGUCUUCUUCUAUAUAUAUAUGCAUACAUACAUAUAAAGCAUUGAUAAUGAUAAAAUACCAUAAAAUUUUAUUUUUCUUAUUAUUUUUUUCUUUUUUCAAAAUAAUUGAAUUAAUUUUCUACACACAAAAUUUCCUAUUCGGUGAGGAAUAAAUGAGUCAAUGCUCGUCGUAAGUUGUAAAAAAGUGUUUGCGCAUAUCCACAUCAUUCGUAAGUUGUUUUUCAAUUUUUCAAUUUUAGUAGGCUUUUUACGUGUUGUUUUAAAUAUUCAUUCAGAAGCUUUAAUUUGGAUUACUUAACACUUGGAUUUUAAUGCUUGAUUACAAUUAAUAGAAUGUUACAAAUAUUAUGAAUGGUACCAGUGUUUGUUAAAUAUCUACAAAUGAUGUGUUAAAAAAUGAAAUUGUCAAUAUACCAAAAUCAAUCUAUUAAAGCCACAAAAAUUAACAAAAAUUUCUUAGUCAUCUUCUUGUAUAUAUACCAUAAUAUAUAUAUAU